UACGGAGGGUGCAAGCGUUAUCCGGAUUCACUGGGUUUAAAGGGUGCGUAGGAGGGCAGGUAAGUCAGUGGUGAAAUCUCCGUAGCUUAACUUGGAACUGCCGUUGAUACUAUCUGUCUUGAAUAUUGUGGAGGUGAGCGGAAUAUGUCAUGUAGCGGUGAAAUGCUUAGAUAUGACAUAGAACACCAAUUGCGAAGGCAGCUCGCUACACAUAUAUUGACUCUGAGGCACGAAAGCGUGGGGAUCAAACAGG
rnacentral:rRNA from 1 species